rnacentral:rRNA from 1 species
UGCCAGCCGCCGCGGUAAUACGGAGGGUGCAAGCGUUAUCCGGAAUCACUGGGUUUAAAGGGUGCGUAGGCUGUUUGAUAAGUCAGAGGUGAAAUGUUCCCGCUAAACGGGAGACCUGCCUUUGAAACUAUCAGACUUGAGUAAGGUGGAGGUGGGCGGAAUGAGUCAUGUAGCGGUGAAAUGCAUAGAUAUGACUUAGAACACCAAAUGCGAAGGCAGCUCACUAUACCUUUACUGACGCUGAGUCACGAAAGCGUGGGUAGCGAACAGGAUUAGAUA